rnacentral:rRNA from 1 species
AGCGAACGCUGGCGGCAGGCUUAACACAUGCAAGUCGAACGCCCCGCAAGGGGAGUGGCAGACGGGUGAGUAACACGUGGGAACGUACCCUUUGGUUCGGAAUAACUUGGGGAAACUCAAGCUAAUACCGGACAAGCCCUUAUGGGGAAAGGUUUACUGCCGAAGGAUCGGCCCGCGUCUGAUUAGCUAGUUGGUGAGGUAAUGGCUCACCAAGGCGACGAUCAGUAGCUGGUCUGAGAGGAUGAUCAGCCACACUGGGACUGAGACACGGCCCAGACUCCUACGGGAGGCAGCAGUGGGGAAUAUUGGACAAUGGGGGCAACCUUGAUCCAGCCAUGCCGCGUGAGUGAUGAAGGCCUUAGGGUUGUAAAGCUCUUUUACCCGGGACGGUAAUGACUGUACCGGGAGAAUAAGCCCCGGCUAACUUCGUGCCAGCCGCCGCAGUAA